AGCUGACUGUUUGUACCCUGGGGUGGGAAUUCAAAUAUUGUUUAUCAGUGGAAAUGUUAACUACGUGUCCUUUGUUGGGAGUAAAGCAACCUGAUUUCUCAUACUUCUUCUGAAAGCAGGAACUCAUUGGAGAGAAAAAAUGUGUGCCAGCAGGGAAAAAGGAAGAGCUUUCAUCUAUGAUGAGAAGAUUUGCAUAAGAAAAGCAAGUAGAUUUGAGUCUAGCUUUUGCUGUUGACAUCGACAUCGAAAGCAUGAGCAUCAGUGAGUCCUCUCAAUUUAUUCAGAAAGAAAACAAUUGUUUUGUAAGUCAGGUGCUUUGAUUCCUUCCUGACUGCGGAAGGCCUUUCUGGGUCCUCAGCACUCUGGUGGAGUGAAGGUGCUUUUCUUUUUCCAUCUUGAAUCCCUUCCUGGACAGUUUGUACCAAUUCUUUCUCAUAUUUUAUUUGGGAGAAGGGGAGAGAAACUGUCUCGCAAUUUUCAGAUUCAUUUGAAUUUUUCUCUGAGCCCCAGACACCUGGUGGAAAGAUGCCAGCAAUGCUGUAGGCUGGUUUGAUGUACCAAUAAAAAUAAAAUUAAAUUUUAAAAACCCCAACCCUCGUGUAAGAAAAGCGCCAUUCUUAGAAAGCCUCCAGCGUUCCAGCUAGAGCACAAACAGCUGCUUAUUUAGGACUCUUCUCGGUAAAUCCACAGUCUCGGGCCAAAGGGGCAGCAGCUCUUGUGGUCUCGCACUAGCCCAGACCCCCCCAGGAGGGGGAACACACAGGGGAGAAGGGAAGGAACGAGUAGGGAGAGGGAACCAUCCCCAAACAGCGGCUGAAACUUCGCCUGAGGAGGGCCGACGCUCCGCUGGGUCGA